rnacentral:rRNA from 1 species
GACGAACGCUGGCGGCGUGCCUAAUACAUGCAAGUAGAACGCUGAAGGAGGAGCUUGCUCUUCUGGAUGAGUUGCGAACGGGUGAGUAACGCGUAGGUAACCUGCCUGGUAGCGGGGGAUAACUAUUGGAAACGAUAGCUAAUACCGCAUAACAGUAGAUGUUGCAUGACAUUUACUUAAAAGGUGCAAUUGCAUCACUACCAGAUGGACCUGCGUUGUAUUAGCUAGUUGGUGGGGUAACGGCUCACCAAGGCGACGAUACAUAGCCGACCUGAGAGGGUGAUCGGCCACACUGGGACUGAGACACGGCCCAGACUCCAACGGGAGGCAGCAGUAGGGAAUCUUCGGCAAUGGACGGAAGUCUGACCGAGCAACGCCGCGUGAGUGAAGAAGGUUUUCGGAUCGUAAAGCUCUGUUGUAAGAGAAGAACGAGUGUGAGAGUGGAAAGUUCACACUGUGACGGUAUCUUACCAGAAAGGGACGGCUAACUACGUG